rnacentral:rRNA from 1 species
UACGUAGGGUGCAAGCGUUAAUCGGAAUUACUGGGCGUAAAGCGUGCGCAGGCGGUUGUGCAAGACAGAUGUGAAAUCCCCGGGCUUAACCUGGGAACUGCAUUUGUGACUGCACGGCUAGAGUGUGUCAGAGGGGGGUAGAAUUCCACGUGUAGCAGUGAAAUGCGUAGAUAUGUGGAGGAAUACCGAUGGCGAAGGCAGCCCCCCUGGGAUAACACUGACGCUCAUGCACGAAAGCGUGGGGGAGCAAACAGG